UACGUAGGGGGCAAGCGUUGUCCGGAUUUAUUGGGCGUAAAGAGCGUGUAGGCGGCUUGGUAGGUCUUGCGUCAAAACCUGAGGCUCAACCUCAGUUCGCGUGGGAAACCACCUAGCUAGAGUCCGGAAGAGGAGAACGGAAUUCCCAGUGUAGCGGUGAAAUGCGUAGAUAUCGGGAGGAACACCAGUGGCGAAGGCGACUACCUGGCCUGUUCUUGACGCUGAGGCGCGAAAGCUAGGGGAGCAAACGGG
rnacentral:rRNA from 1 species